GGUUGAUCCUGCCAGUAGUCAUAUGCUUGUCUCAAAGAUUAAGCCAUGCAUGUCUAAGUAUAAACAACUUUAUACUGUGUGAAACUGCGUACAGCUCAUUAUAUCAGUUAUUAUUUAUUUGAUGGUACCUUUACUACAUGGAUACCCGUAGUAAUUCUAGAGCUAAUACAUGCGUAAAGUCCCGACUCUUUUGAGAAGGGAUGUAUUUAUUAGAUAAAAAGCCGAUACCCCUCGGGGUUGUGGUGACUCAUAGUAACUUUUCGGAUCGCAUGGGCUUGUCCUGGCGAUAGUU
rnacentral:rRNA from 1 species